rnacentral:rRNA from 1 species
ACAUCUUUUCUUGUUAUUUAUUUGAAAUUUGACCUGCCCACUGAUAAUUUAUUUAAUGGCCGCGGUAUUUUGACCGUGCAAAGGUAGCAUAAUCAUUAGUUCAUUAAUUGUGGACUUGUAUGAAUGGUUGGACGAAAUAUUUACUGUCUCAUAAUUAUUAUUUUAAUUUAAAUUUUGAGUUAAAAUGCUUAAAUUUAUUUAUAGGACGAGAAGACCCUAUAGAUCUUUAUUUUAUUUUUAAAUAAUUAUUUUAGUUUUUUUCUUUUUUUUUAAGAGAUAUGUUUAGUUGGGGUGACAUUGAGAUAUAAUUAACUCUUUAUUUUUGUAUUCAAUAAUAUUUGUAUAUUUGACCUUCUAUUAAUGUUAAAAGAUUUAGAUACCUUAGGGAUAACAGCGUAAUUUUUUUUUAGAGUUCAUAUCGACAAAUUAAGAUUGCGACCUCGAUGUUGGAUUAAGAAAAUAGUUAGGUGUAGGUGCUUAAUAAUUAAGUCUGUUCGACUUUUAAAUUCUUACAUGAUCU